AGGGCUCGGCAUCUUCUAGAAGAUCUUCGAAAUUUAAUGCCUCAUAGUAAAAAGGAAAAUAAGCUGGACAGAAAGGAAAGUCUUCUUACUAUAAACGAAAUAUGUGAAUUAAAAAACUGUAAUAAUUGCGUUUACCUUGAAUUACGCAAAAAGCAAGAUUUAUACAUGUGGAUCUCUAAACCUCCUCAAGGCCCUUCAACAAAGUUUUUAGUAGAAAAUGUUCAUACUUCUGCUGAAUUAAAUUUAAUCGGGAAUUGCCUGAGGGGCUCCCGCCCCAUUUUGUCUUUUGAUAAAAAUUUCGAUUCGCAGCCUCACUUGUCUUUAUUAAAAGAAGUUUUUAUUCAAAGUUUUGGGACUACUUGCAAUCAUCCUUUAAGUAAACCUUUUUUCGACCACGUGUUUACUUUUUCUAUAGUGGAAAAUCGAAUUUGGUUUCGAAAUUAUCAGAUCUGCGAAACAACGUCCGGAAAAGCACAUGAAACGAGUCUUAUCGAGAUCGGCCCUCGAUUUGUACUAAAUCCUAUUCGAAUCUUUUCGGGAAGUUUUUGUGGAUCCACACUUUUUCAGAAUCCGCUUUACACAUCUCCAAAUUUUUUGCGAGCACAACGAAGAAAAAGAGAAGCUGGAAAAUAUGCUUCAAGGGUGACUUCUAAGAAAAGUUUU